rnacentral:rRNA from 1 species
AUUGAACGCUGGCGGCAUGCUUUACACGUGCAAGUCGAACGGUAACAGGCCGCAAGGUGCUGACGAGUGGCGAACGGGUGAGUAAUGCAUCGGAACGUGCCCAGUCGUGGGGGAUAACGCAGCGAAAGCUGUGCUAAUACCGCAUACGAUCUGUGGAUGAAAGCGGGGGACCGUAAGGCCUCGCGCGAUUGGAGCGGCCGAUGUCAGAUUAGGUAGUUGGUGGGGUAAAGGCUCACCAAGCCAACGAUCUGUAGCUGGUCUGAGGGGACGACCAGCCACAAUGGGACUGAGACACGGCCCAGACUCCUACGGGAGGCAGCAGUGGGGAAUUUUGGACAAUGGGCGCAAGCCUGAUCCAGCAACGCCGCGUGCAGGAAGAAGGCCUUCGGGUUGUAAACUGCUUUUGUACGGAACGAAACGGUCUGGGUUAAUACCCUGGGCUAAUGACGGUACCGUAAGAAUAAGCACCGGCUAACUACGUGCCAGCCGCCGCGGUAACAC